GUCUACGGCCAUGCCACUCUGAACACGUCCAAUCCCGUCUGAUCUCAGAAGCUAAGCCGGUUCAGGCCUGGUUAGUACUUGGAUGGGAGACCACCCAGGAAGACCAGGUGUUAUAGACA
rnacentral:rRNA from 1 species